rnacentral:rRNA from 1 species
UACGUAGGGUGCAAGCGUUAAUCGGAAUUACUGGGCGUAAAGCGUGCGCAGGCGGUUUUGUAAGUCUGACGUGAAAUCCCCGGGCUCAACCUGGGAAUUGCGUUGGAGACUGCAAGGCUAGAAUCUGGCAGAGGGGGGGUAGAAUUCCACGUGUAGCAGUGAAAUGCGUAGAGAUGCGGAGGAACACCGAUGGCGAAGGCAGCCCCCUGGGUCAAGAUUGACGCUCAUGCACGAAAGGCGUGG